rnacentral:rRNA from 1 species
AGAUUGAACGCUGGCGGCAUGCUUUACACAUGCAAGUCGAACGGCAGCGCGGGGCAACCUGGCGGCGAGUGGCGAACGGGUGAGUAAUAUAUCGGAACGUACCCAAGAGUGGGGGAUAACGUAGCGAAAGUUACGCUAAUACCGCAUACGAUCUAAGGAUGAAAGCAGGGGACCGCAAGGCCUUGUGCUCCUGGAGCGGCCGAUAUCUGAUUAGCUAGUUGGUAGGUAAAGGCCUACCAAGGCUACGAUCAGUAGCUGGUCUGAGAGGACGACCAGCCACACUGGAACUGAGACACGGUCCAGACUCCUACGGGAGGCAGCAGUAGGGGAAUAUUGGGACAAG